rnacentral:lncRNA from 1 species
AAAGAACAUCAUAAAUUAUGGCCAAUAUAAUAAAAAUUACCAUCAACUAGCAAAUAAGCACAAUCCUAAGUUCCAAAUUUAGAAAAGGCUACUGUUACAAACAAAAUGAAUCAGUGUCUGAAAAACGCGAGAUUUGGGUCCAUAACAUUAGAUAGUGUGCAAAUACGUGUGAAGCCAAAUAAACACACACCUUUUCUCUCAGAGAAGCAAACUAUAUACAAUCUGAUUUGUGUGAUUUCAAUACUAAAUUUCAAAUUCAUUGUAUAAGUAAUGUGAACAUUUAUACACUUUCACUACCUGCACUGCUCCAAAAGAACCCCUCAGAGAAUAUAGCAAGAAAAGAAAAGGGAAAAAAAAAAGCACUUUGCGACCACUACUUGCAAACAGGUGAAAAUUUUUUUGUAAGUGUACAUGUAUCCUUUUUUUUAGAUUUUGUAAAGAAACUAAGCAAGGAAAUAUAGAAAAGAGGUCUACCCAUACUAGUACAAGGCUACUGUUACAAACAAAAUGAAUCACUGUCUGGAAAACGCAAGAUUUGGGUCCAUAACAUUAGAUAGUGUGCAAAUACGUGUGAAGCCAAAUAAACACACACCUUUUCUCUCAGAGAAGCAGACUAUAUACAAUCUAAUUCGUGUGAUUAAAAUACUAAAUUACAAAUGCAUUGUAUAAGUAAUGUGAACAUUUAUACACUUUCACUACCUGCACUGCUCCAAAAGAACCCCUCAGAGAAUAUAGCAAGAAAAGAAAAGGGAAAAAAAAAAAGCACUUUGCGACCACUACUUGCAAACAGGUGAAAAUUUUUUCGUAAGUGUACAUGUAUCCUUUUUUUUAGAUUUUGUAAAGAAACUAAGCAAGGAAAUAUAGAAAUGAGGUCUACUAUACUAGUAUGGUAUGUUGAGAAGGCAAAUACAUAAUUACCUCUCCAAAUGCGCCCCUGCCUAUCAUUGUCAAGGGUUCAAAAUCAUCAGCACCCAUUUUAUGUCUCUGAAGGCGCAUGUAUUCUG